UACGUAGGGGGCUAGCGUUGUCCGGAUUUAUUGGGCGUAAAGAGCGUGUAGGCGGCCAGGUAGGUCUGCUGUGAAAACUCGAGGCUCAACCUCGAGACGUCGGUUGAAACCGUCUGGCUAGAGUCCGGAAGAGGAGAGUGGAAUUCCCGGUGUAGCGGUGAAAUGCGCAGAUAUCGGGAAGAACACCCGUGGCGAAGGCAGGUCUCUGGGCAUUAACUGACGCUGAGGAGCGAAAGCAUGGGGAGCGAACAGG
rnacentral:rRNA from 1 species